CCUACGGGCGGCUGCAGUGGGGAAUUUUGGACAAUGGGCGCAAGCCUGAUCCAGCAAUGCCGCGUGCAGGAUGAAGGCCUUCGGGUUGUAAACUGCUUUUGUACGGAACGAAACGGUCCUCUCUAAUACGGGGGGCUAAUGACGGUACCGUAAGAAUAAGCACCGGCUAACUACGUGCCAGCAGCCGCGGUAAUACGUAGGGUGCGAGCGUUAAUCGGAAUUACUGGGCGUAAAGCGUGCGCAGGCGGUUUUGUAAGACAGAUGUGAAAUCCCCGGGCUCAACCUGGGACCUGCAUUUGUGACUGCAAGGCUAGAGUACGGUAGAGGGGGAUGGAAUUCCGCGUGUAGCAGUGAAAUGCGUAGAUAUGCGGAGGAACACCGAUGGCGAAGGCAAUCCCCUGGACCUGUACUGACGCUCAUGCACGAAAGCGUGGGGAGCAAACAGGAUUAGAUACCCUUGUAGUC
rnacentral:rRNA from 1 species